UCCCCAGCUGUUUUCGGACUACAAUUCCCACCAUCCCUGACUAGCUAGGGAUGAUGGGAGUUGUAGUCCAAAAACAGCUGGAGA